rnacentral:RNase_P_RNA from 1 species
CAGGCAGGGUGUAUCGGUCGCUCUCUUCGGAGGGAGGAAAGUCCGGACUCCGCAGGGCAGGACGUUCCGUGGUUAACGCGGGAACCCGUGUGCGAUAUCGCACGGGAAGGAAAGUGCCGCAGAAAAUAUACCGCCAUGCCCUCGGGUGUGGUAAGGGUGAAAAGGUGGGGUAAGAGCCCACCGCCCCAAGGGUAACCGAGGGGGCAGGGUAAACCCCGUCCGGAGCAAGAUCAAAUAGGGAACCGAGGAGCGGCCCGCUCCGUUUAAGUUCCGGGUUGAACGCACUAGAUAAAUGACCGACCCCGUAAGGGGAACAGAAUCCGGCUUACCGCCCUGCUUGUUUU